CCUACGGGAGGCAGCAGUGGGGAAUAUUGGGCAAUGGGCGCAAGCCUGACCCAGCAACGCCGCGUGAAGGAAGAAGGCUUUCGGGUUGUAAACUUCUUUUCUCAGGGACGAAGAAAGUGACGGUACCUGAGGAAUAACCCACGGCUAACUUCGGUCCAGCAGCCGCGGUAACUCGUAGGUAGCAAGCGUUAUCCAGAUUUAUUGGGUGUAAAGGGCGUGGAGGCGGGAGCGCAAGUCAGAUGUGAAAACUCAGGGCUCAACCCAUAGCCUGCAUUUGAAACUGUGUUACGUGAGUGCUGGAGAGGCAAUCGGAAUUCCGUGUGUAGCAGUGAAAUGCGUAGAUAUACGGAGGAACACCAGUGGCGAAGGCGGAUUGCUGGACAGUAACUGACGCUGAGGCGCGAAAGCGUGGGGAGCGAACAGGAUUAGAUACCCGUGUAGUC
rnacentral:rRNA from 1 species